AACGGCCGCGGUAUUUUGACCGUGCAAAGGUAGCGCAAUCACUUGUCUUUUAAAUGAAGACCUGUAUGAAUGGCAUAACGAGGGCUUAACUGUCUCCUUUUUCCUAUCAAUGAAAUUGAUUUCUCCGUGCAGAAGCGGGGAUUAAAACAUAAGACGAGAAGACCCUAUGGAGCUUAAAACGCAAGAACAGAACAUGAUCAUUCAUAUAAUUAAAAAAUGAAAUCAAUUGACACCUGUUCAAAUGUUUUUGGUUGGGGCGACCACGGAGUAAAACAAAACCUCCAUGAGGAAUAAAGAUAUUCCUUUUAAUUUAAGGGUAACAACCCUAAAAAUUAGAACUUCUAACCACCUUGAUCCGGCAAAGCCGACCAACGGACCGAGUUACCCUAGGGAUAACAGCGCAAUCCUCUUUUAGAGUCCAUAUCGACAAGAAGGUUUACGACCUCGAUGUUGGAUCAGGACAUCCUAAU
rnacentral:rRNA from 1 species